GAUGAAGAACGUAGCGAAAUGCGAUAAGUAAUGUGAAUUGCAGAAUUCAGUGAAUCAUCGAAUCUUUGAACGCACAUUGCGCCCGCCAGUAUUCUGGCGGGCAUGCCUGUCCGAGCGUCAUUUCAACCAUCAAGCCCCAGGCUUGUGUUGGGGACCUGCGUCCGACGCAGGCCCUGAAAACCAGUGGCGGGCUCGCUGUCCACACCGAGCGUAGUAACUAACCUCGCUACGGGAGCGGCGCGGGCGCCUGCCGUAAAACCCCCAAUUUUCACAAGGUUGACCUCGGAUCAGGUAGGAAUACCCGCUGAACUUAAGCAUAUCAAUAAGCGGAGGA
rnacentral:misc_RNA from 1 species